rnacentral:rRNA from 1 species
UACGUAGGGUCCGAGCGUUGUCCGGAAUUACUGGGCGUAAAGAGCUCGUAGGUGGUUUGUCGCGUUGUUCGUGAAAACUCACAGCUUAACUGUGGGCGUGCGGGCGAUACGGGCAGACUGGAGUACUGCAGGGGAGACUGGAAUUCCUGGUGUAGCGGUGGAAUGCGCAGAUAUCAGGAGGAACACCGGUGGCGAAGGCGGGUCUCUGGGCAGUAACUGACGCUGGGGAGCGAAAGCGUGGGGAGCGAACAGG